ensembl:lncRNA
GAGGCCGGGACUCGGUCGCCUCUCCCUGCCUGCUCAGCGAGGGAGGACCUGCAGGGGAGGAGGAACCAAACAUCAACAAGCGGCCCGGACGCUAGAAGCCCAAGAAGAAGAGAUGAGGAAAGCGCUCGGAGGACGCGCUUCCGGAAAAACAAACCAUAAUGGAAAAUGUCUCUAAAAGCGGAGAGAAAGACGGAGCACUCGUAUGGAAUCCGCCUAAAAGUCUGGCUCUGUCAUCAAUGGCCACCUGGUGGAGUGGAUUUGGCCCCGAUCCCUGCCCGUCUUAUCAGGAGCGGUAGGCUCUCUAAUCUGACGCCCAUGCAGCUGUUCCCCACUUGGGGCAGGCCUCCUGUUUAGCUCUAAAAAUACCCCAGUAGCCUCUUCUGCAGAGGAGAGCUUCACCGUACCUCCAUCAGCCGGAGCACACAUACGGAACAGAACUCGAGCACCAGGGUGUAGCCAGUCAUAGUUUACGUCCAACGCAUAUCAGGUUGCCAUUAGAAGGACAGGACUUUCUAAUUGAUACCUGAUGUCUGCGGCAGGAGGAAAUGUCCAGCAAAUGCAAAAUUUACAAAGCCAGUCCAGUUGUUUAAUGUCGUGGUUUUCUACCACAGUCGAACAAAACUGAUUCCCCAACCUACACGCACAGACAUUUAACGUGAUCUACGGGAAAAGGCUGGACAGGAAAGACCGCAAGUCAGGGGAGGGUGUCUAAUGAUAAACAGAAAGCUGUAAACAAAACCAGCUGAAAGUCCUCAGAAAAGUGUUUUUCUAAUGCGGUAACAAUGGAGGGACCGUUGCUGUCAAAGAGCCAGCAGCUACCUCAUACUGUCCAGACACACACACACACACCCAACAACACAUGACAUCUACUGUAAACACAUACUUCAUGAAUAAAAUAAUUCCCUUC